rnacentral:rRNA from 1 species
AUUGAACGCUGGCGGCAGGCCUAACACAUGCAAGUCGAGCGGGGUUUUCGGACCUAGCGGCGAACGGGUGAGUAAUGCGUAGGAAGCUACCCGAUAGAGGGGGAUACCAGUUGGAAACGACUGUUAAUACCGCAUAAUGUCUACGGACCAAAGUGUGGGACCUUCGGGCCACAUGCUAUCGGAUGCGCCUACGUGGGAUUAGCUAGUUGGUGAGGUAAUGGCUCACCAAGGCGACGAUCUCUAGCUGGUUUGAGAGGAUGAUCAGCCACACUGGAACUGAGACACGGUCCAGACUCCUACGGGAGGCAGCAGUGGGGAAUAUUGGACAAUGGGCGAAAGCCUGAUCCAGCCAUGCCGCGUGUGUGAAGAAGGCCUUCGGGUUGUAAAGCACUUUCAGUAGGGAGGAAGGGUUAAGUGUUAAUAGUACUUAACUUUGACGUUACCUACAGAAGAAGCACCGGCUAACUCUGUGCCAGCAGCCGCAGUAAAAC